rnacentral:rRNA from 1 species
CCUACGGGGGGCAGCAGUGGGGAAUAUUGCACAAUGGGGGAAACCCUGAUGCAGCGACGCCGCGUGAGUGAAGAAGUAAUUCGGUAUGUAAAGCUCUAUCAGCAGGGAAGAAAAUGACGGUACCUGAUCAAGAAGCCCCGGCUAACUACGUGCCAGCAGCCGCGGGAAUACGUAGGGGGCAAGCGUUAUCCGGAUUGACUGGGUGGAAAGGGAGAGUAGACGGUGAUGCAAGUCAGAAGUGAAAGCACGGGGCUCAACGCCGGGACUGCUUUUGAAACUGUGUGACUGGAGUGCAGGAGAGGUAAGCGGAAUUCCUGGUGUAGCGGUGAAAUGCGUAGAGAUCAGGAGGAACACCAGUGGCGAAGGCGGCUUACUGGACUGUAACUGACGUUGAGGCUCGAAAGCGUGGGGAGCAAACAGGAUUAGAUACCCGUGUAGUC